rnacentral:piRNA from 2 species
AAGUGUACAGAUGGACCUAAAGCAAGC